AUGGGGCCCGAGCGUUAUCCGGAUUUACUGGGCGUAAAGCGUGCGUAGGUGUCCUAUCAAGUUUUCGGUGAAAUCUGUCCGCUCAACGGACAAACGGUCGAAAAAACUGAUGGGAUCGAGUAUGACAGAGGCAGACGGAAUUGAUGGUGUAGCGGUAGAAUGCGUAGAUAUCAUCAAGAACACCAAUGGCGAAGGCAGUCUGCUGGGUCACUACUGACACUGAGGUACGAAAGCGUGGGGAGCGAACGGGAUUAGAUACCCCGGUAGUCCACGCCGUAAACGAUGGGUACUAGGUAUUCGGGGAAUAGACCCCCUGGGUAUCGAAGCUAACGCGUUAAGUACCCCGCCUGGGGAGUACGGUCGCUAGACUA
rnacentral:rRNA from 1 species